rnacentral:misc_RNA from 1 species
CCAACAUCACCUUUCAAACCUCGAGAGCACUGAGUGAUAGAAUCCACAAGGAAGAAUAAAUCCACCCUUCUGUGUAAACUUGACUCACUUUCCAAGUUACGGACUAAAAUCUCCACCACCUUAGUAGAAAGGCCAAACUUUGCACAGUCAAUGGCUAUGCGAGUUGCUCGACCAAUGCUCUCCUUUGUCCUUGUUAAUGAUCCAAGCAUUCCUUCAAAGGAUGAUAGAGCAGCUUGUGCUUCUGCAUAAUUAUUCCAUUUGCCAAAAGAUUUUGGGUGUUGCAGCACCACCGCUGAUUCCU